UACGUAGGGGGCUAGCGUUAUCCGGAAUUACUGGGCGUAAAGGGUGCGUAGGUGGUUUCUUAAGUCAGAGGUGAAAGGCUACGGCUCAACCGUAGUAAGCCUUUGAAACUGGGGAACUUGAGUGCAGAAGAGGAGAGUGGAAUUCCUAGUGUAGCGGUGAAAUGCGUAGAUAUAUGGAGGAACACCGGUGGCGAAAGCGGCUCUCUGGCCUGUAACUGACACUGAGGCUCGAAAGCGUGGGGAGCAAACAGG
rnacentral:rRNA from 1 species